rnacentral:rRNA from 1 species
GAUCCUGGCUCAGGAUGAACGCUAGCUACAGGCUUAACACAUGCAAGUCGAGGGGAAACGAUAUUGGAAGCUUGCUUCCGAUAGGCGUCGACCGGCGCACGGGUGAGUAACGCGUAUCCAACCUGCCCACCACUUGGGGGAUAACCUUGCGAAAGUAAGACUAAUACCCAAUGACGUCUCUAGAAGACAUCUGAAAGAGAUUAAAGAUUUAUCGGUGAUGGAUGGGGAUGCGUCUGAUUAG